rnacentral:hammerhead_ribozyme from 1 species
AGUCGAAACCGCUUCGGCGGUCUGCUGGAAAUGGUCUACCGGCACUGAUGAGACAGACCAAC